GGACCGUGUAGCCAGUUUGGCCGCAGUGGC
rnacentral:sRNA from 1 species